UACGUAGGGGGCUAGCGUUGUCCGGAAUCAUUGGGCGUAAAGAGCGUGUAGGCGGCCCGGUAAGUCCGCUGUGAAAGUCGGGGGCUCAACCCUCGAAUGCCGGUGGAUACUGUCGGGCUAGAGUGCGGAAGAGGCGAGUGGAACUCCUGGUGUAGCGGUGGAAUGCGCAGAUAUCAGGAAGAACACCAACGGCGAAGGCAGCUCGCUGGGACGGUACUGACGCUGAGACGCGAAAGCGUGGGGAGCAAACAGG
rnacentral:rRNA from 1 species